UAAUUCACCAUAGAAUCUAACAAGUCUAUUUGCGAUGGCUGAAUGAACAUAUUAGUAUUAUGAGUGGUACCACUUGAUGCCUCCUUGAUGCAUCCACAAGGAAUUCAUAUGCCCCAUGUGGAAUGUUUAUAGGCAUGCAUAGGAAUCCCAGAAUCUUUUAUGUGUUAUACAAGAGCCUUACUCUAAUGGAUUACUUUUGAGUUAUUACCUACAGGCAUGCUAGCUGCAGAAGCUACAUUGAGUGUACUACAUGAAGGCUUAAACAUGGAAAAAUAUUGGGAUGCUUUAAGGAGUUCAUGGAUAUGGGAAGAACUUUACAAAUCUCGGAACUUCCGACCUGCAUUCGAAUACGGACUUAUUCCUGGACUGGCCAUAAGUGCUUUAGA